UUAAGCGACUAAGCGUACACGGUGGAUGCCCUGGCAGUCAGAGGCGAUGAAGGACGUGCUAAUCUGCGAUAAGCGUCGGUAAGGUGAUAUGAACCGUUAUAACCGGCGAUUUCCGAAUGGGGAAACCCAGUGUGUUUCGACACACUAUCAUUAACUGAAUCCAUAGGUUAAUGAGGCGAACCGGGGGAACUGAAACAUCUAAGUACCCCGAGGAAAAGAAAUCAACCGAGAUUCCCCCAGUAGCGGCGAGCGAACGGGGAGCAGCCCAGAGCCUGAAUCAGUGUGUGUGUUAGUGGAAGCGUCUGGAAAGGCGCGCGAUACAGGGUGACAGCCCCGUACACAAAAAUGCACAUGCUGUGAGCUCGAUGAGUAGGGCGGGACACGUGGUAUCCUGUCUGAAUAUGGGGGGACCAUCCUCCAAGGCUAAAUACUCCUGACUGACCGAUAGUGAACCAGUACCGUGAGGGAAAGGCGAAAAGAACCCCGGCGAGGGGAGUGAAAAAGAACCUGAAACCGUGUACGUACAAGCAGUGGGAGCACGCUUAGGCGUGUGACUGCGUACCUUUUGUAUAAUGGGUCAGCGACUUAUAUUCUGUAGCAAGGUUAACCGAAUAGGGGAGCCGAAGGGAAACCGAGUCUUAACUGGGCGUUAAGUUGCAGGGUAUAGACCCGAAACCCGGUGAUCUAGCCAUGGGCAGGUUGAAGGUUGGGUAACACUAACUGGAGGACCGAACCGACUAAUGUUGAAAAAUUAGCGGAUGACUUGUGGCUGGGGGGGAAAGGCCAAUCAAACCGGGAGAUAGCUGGUUCUCCCCGAAAGCUAUUUAGGUAGCGCCUCGUGAAUUCAUCUCCGGGGGUAGAGCACUGUUUCGGCAAGGGGGUCAUCCCGACUUACCAACCCGAUGCAAACUGCGAAUACCGGAGAAUGUUAUCACGGGAGACACACGGCGGGUGCUAACGUCCGUCGUGAAGAGGGAAACAACCCAGACCGCCAGCUAAGGUCCCAAAGUCAUGGUUAAGUGGGAAACGAUGUGGGAAGGCCCAGACAGCCAGGAUGUUGGCUUAGAAGCAGCCAUCAUUUAAAGAAAGCGUAAUAGCUCACUGGUCGAGUCGGCCUGCGCGGAAGAUGUAACGGGGCUAAACCAUGCACCGAAGCUGCGGCAGCGACGCUGAUGCGUUGUUGGGUAGGGGAGCGUUCUGUAAGCCUGCGAAGGUGUGCUGUGAGGCAUGCUGGAGGUAUCAGAAGUGCGAAUGCUGACAUAAGUAACGAUAAAGCGGGUGAAAAGCCCGCUCGCCGGAAGACCAAGGGUUCCUGUCCAACGUUAAUCGGGGCAGGGUGAGUCGACCCCUAAGGCGAGGCCGAAAGGCGUAGUCGAUGGGAAACAGGUUAAUAUUCCUGUACUUGGUGUUACUGCGAAGGGGGGACGGAGAAGGCUAUGUUGGCCGGGCGACGGUUGUCCCGGUUUAAGCGUGUAGGCUGGUUUUCCAGGCAAAUCCGGAAAAUCAAGGCUGAGGCGUGAUGACGAGGCACUACGGUGCUGAAGCAACAAAUGCCCUGCUUCCAGGAAAAGCCUCUAAGCAUCAGGUAACAUCAAAUCGUACCCCAAACCGACACAGGUGGUCAGGUAGAGAAUACCAAGGCGCUUGAGAGAACUCGGGUGAAGGAACUAGGCAAAAUGGUGCCGUAACUUCGGGAGAAGGCACGCUGAUAUGUAGGUGAGGUGCCUUGCUGAUGGAGCUGAAAUCAGUCGAAGAUACCAGCUGGCUGCAACUGUUUAUUAAAAACACAGCACUGUGCAAACACGAAAGUGGACGUAUACGGUGUGACGCCUGCCCGGUGCCGGAAGGUUAAUUGAUGGGGUUAGCCGCAAGGCGAAGCUCUUGAUCGAAGCCCCGGUAAACGGCGGCCGUAACUAUAACGGUCCUAAGGUAGCGAAAUUCCUUGUCGGGUAAGUUCCGACCUGCACGAAUGGCGUAAUGAUGGCCAGGCUGUCUCCACCCGAGACUCAGUGAAAUUGAACUCGCUGUGAAGAUGCAGUGUACCCGCGGCAAGACGGAAAGACCCCGUGAACCUUUACUAUAGCUUGACACUGAACAUUGAGCCUUGAUGUGUAGGAUAGGUGGGAGGCUUUGAAGUGUGGACGCCAGUCUGCAUGGAGCCGACCUUGAAAUACCACCCUUUAAUGUUUGAUGUUCUAACGUUGACCCGUAAUCCGGGUUGCGGACAGUGUCUGGUGGGUAGUUUGACUGGGGCGGUCUCCUCCUAAAGAGUAACGGAGGAGCACGAAGGUUGGCUAAUCCUGGUCGGACAUCAGGAGGUUAGUGCAAUGGCAUAAGCCAGCUUGACUGCGAGCGUGACGGCGCGAGCAGGUGCGAAAGCAGGUCAUAGUGAUCCGGUGGUUCUGAAUGGAAGGGCCAUCGCUCAACGGAUAAAAGGUACUCCGGGGAUAACAGGCUGAUACCGCCCAAGAGUUCAUAUCGACGGCGGUGUUUGGCACCUCGAUGUCGGCUCAUCACAUCCUGGGGCUGAAGUAGGUCCCAAGGGUAUGGCUGUUCGCCAUUUAAAGUGGUACGCGAGCUGGGUUUAGAACGUCGUGAGACAGUUCGGUCCCUAUCUGCCGUGGGCGCUGGAGAACUGAGGGGGGCUGCUCCUAGUACGAGAGGACCGGUGUGGACGCAUCACUGGUGUUCGGGUUGUCAUGCCAAUGGCACUGCCCGGUAGCUAAAUGCGGAAGAGAUAAGUGCUGAAAGCAUCUAAGCACGAAACUUGCCCCGAGAUGAGUUCUCCCUGACUCCUUGAGAGUCCUGAAGGAACGUUGAAGACGACGACGUUGAUAGGCCGGGUGUGUAAGCGCAGCGAUGCGUUGAGCUAACCGGUACUAAUGAACCGUGAGGCUUAACCUU
rnacentral:rRNA from 1 species